rnacentral:rRNA from 1 species
GCUUAUACUCGACCGUCAGCGGCACGUGCGAUCGCGGGCGCGCGAGACCCCUCCGGGGGCGACGCGCGCCCGCGAUCACGAAGCCCUGACGAGUAGGAGGGUCGCGGCGGUGAGCGCAGAAGGGCUGGCCGCGAGGCCGUCUGGAGCCGCCGUCGGUGCAGAUCUUGGUGGUAGUAGCAAAUACUCCAGCGAGGCCCUGGAGGACUGACGUGGAGAAGGGUUUCGUGUGAACAGCCGUUGCACACGAGUCAGUCGAUCCUAAGCCCUAGGCGAAAGCCGAUGUCGAUGCGGUGUAGAUUUAUAUCGAUAUAUCGCGUAGUAGCGGCAGCGGCGAGUACUAUAUAAAUUCGCGCGCGCGCGUACGCGUACGUAUAAAUUUCCGUACACACCCGUCGGGCGAAAGGGAAUCCGGUUCCUAUUCCGGAACCUGGCAGCGGAACCGUCAAAAAGUCGGGC